rnacentral:misc_RNA from 1 species
GUGGACUGCAGAAGUAUUUAAAUGAGCAAGGUUUUAAUAUUGUUGGAUAUGGCUGCAGUCCACUCUGGAGCAAAUAUUUAGUAACUACACCGGAGCCAGGAGCAAGACUUGUUUUAACCCAUGGUUUAACAUUUAGACCCAGGUCGCAAGCCUUUUUUGCAACAAGGGCUGCUCCUAGCAUAACACUGGGAUUUGAUGUAUUAGUGCAACUUGUGAUAGCGGCAAUAACAACACUUCCAUGCUUGAGCUCUGCAUGUUGUCCGUGGAAAGAAAAUUUUACCACUUUUUCCUGCGCAUCUUUCGGCACAGCAAAUCCCUUGAAUCCAACCUUGUUAUCAAGGCAAGAGUGCCAAUCAGACUUCAUUUCUUUCAAAGGCACACGGUCAUGAGGUCUUUUUGGCCCCGACACACAAGGCUCAACUUCAGCAAGGUCUAGGUACAAACAAGAAGAGUACACUUUCUCAUGUUGAGGCUCAUUAUAGUCGACAAACAUAUUAUUUGCACGCAGAUAUGCUUCGAUCAUUGACACUGUUUCGUCACUUCUCCCUGUUAAUUUCAGAUACUGCAAAGUAACAUGAUCUACAGGGAAGAAACCCAUUGUUGCACCAUAUUCAGGAGACAUGUUGGCAAUGGUGGCCCUGUCAGCCAACGAUAGUUCACCCAUUCCAUCACCAUAGAACUCAACAAACUUUCCAACAACACCAUGCUUCCUCAGC